CGAAGAUCUGCCGAUUCUCAUGCUAACCUGAGUGGUUGUUUUAACUUCUGAGAUUCCAAUUUUGUAUCCGUAGUAAGAUUUCUGGCAGAAGAACAGCAGAUAGAUGAGAGGAAUAACAGCAUUUUUGUAUACUGAGAGGAGUGAUCCAAGAGAUGGGGACACUCACAAUGGAAACACUACCAUUGCACUGCCUUUGGGUACCAAGGGGAGAUGAGAAAAAGGACUCAAAGUGAUCAGCUGAAAGGGAAGAGGUGGAGGUUUGAAAAGAGAGAACGUGUAAAAAGCCAUCUAGGAGGAUGGAUGAAUGAUGUAGAAUUGCUGGGCAGAACUGAAAACUCCUGAGGCCUUGCUGUCUCUCUACAGGGGGCUCAUGAACGCUAACCUGAACUGAGAGCUGGUCACUGCCGUGCUAAGCUAACUCUCCUCACCAAUCACAGCAUGCAUGGGGUUCACAUUUAUUUUUGUUUUUCCCAUUCUCCCCCUAAUUCCUUGCCGUUAAGAACCAGACACUUCUUAUACAGCUCCUGUA